GACGAACGCUGGCGGCGUGCCUAAUACAUGCAAGUCGAACGAACCGCGACUAAGUGCUUGCACUAAGUCAAGGUGAGUGGCGAACGGGUGAGUAACACGUGGGUAACCCACCUCAUAGUGGGGGAUAACAGUCGGAAACGACUGCUAAUACCGCAUAGGACAUAGGAUCACAUGAUCCAGUGAGGAAAGGUGGCGCAAGCUAUCGCUAAGAGAUGGACCCGCGGUGCAUUAGCUAGUUGGUAGGGUAAAGGCCUACCAAGGCGAUGAUGCAUAGCCGACCUGAGAGGGUGAUCGGCCACAUUGGGACUGAGACACGGCCCAAACUCCUACGGGAGGCAGCAGUAGGGAAUCUUCCGCAAUGGACGCAAGUCUGACGGAGCAACGCCGCGUGAGUGAAGAAGGUCUUCGGAUCGUAAAGCUCUGUUGUUAGAGAAGAACAGCGCAUAGAGUAACUGCUAUGCGUGUGACGGUAUCUAACCAGAAAGCCACGGCUAACUACGCG
rnacentral:rRNA from 1 species